rnacentral:rRNA from 1 species
CCUACGGGAGGCAGCAGUAGGGAAUAUUGCUCAAUGGGGGAAACCCUGAAGCAGCAACGCCGCGUGGAGGAUGAAGGUUUUAGGAUUGUAAACUCCUUUUGUUAGAGAAGAUUAUGACGGUAUCUAACGAAUAAGCACCGGCUAACUCCGUGCCAGCAGCCGCGGUAAUACGGAGGGUGCAAGCGUUACUCGGAAGCACUGGGCGUACAGAGUGCGUAGGCGGGGGAAGAAGUCAGAUGUGAAAUCCUGUCGCUUAACGACAGAACUGCAUUUGAAACUGUUACUCUGGAGUGUGGGAGAGGUAGGUGGCAUUCUUGGUGUAGGGGUCAAAUCCGUAGAGAUCCAGAGGAAUACUCAUUGCGCCGGCGACCUGCUGGAACAUUACUGCCGCUGCUGCAC